rnacentral:lncRNA from 1 species
AGUAAUAUAUAGAGAUAUCCAACAUAUCUUCAUUUCUUGUUUCCAUAUUGAUAUUCAUAUAUGAAUGACAAGAAGAUUAUACUUAUGCAAUCAAUUGUUCUGCAAAUCAACAUCUCCCUUAUUAUUGGGCUGAAUUGUUACUAUUGUCAUUUAUGUCCGUUUAAAAACGUUUCAUCAUAUUAGCGAGUGAAUGCCCUUACCAAUCAUUUGUACAUU